GAGCGGUUCAUCGAGGUGCCUCAUUUGCUGGUCUUCGUACUACAAGUGUGCGGAAGUUGUUACCUGAAUCUUGGGGUUUCCUUUGUCCUGUUCACACACCUGAUGGGGAGCCAUGUGGGUUGCUUAAUCAUAUGACUGCAUCUUGCCGCAUAACCUCAUACUAUGAUUCAAAGGGCAAUGUUAAAGACUUCUUCAAAAUGCGG
rnacentral:misc_RNA from 1 species